rnacentral:rRNA from 1 species
GACCAGGCCAAUAAGGGCAAGUGGUGGAUGUCUCGGCGUUGAGAGGCGAUGAAGGACGUGGAAACCUGCGAUAAGCUUCGGGAAGCCGGUAAUCAGGCAAUGAUCCGAAGGUCUCCGAAUGGGGAAACCCGGCCCACUUUUGUGGGUCACUCGUACCCGAAUGCAUACGGUACGAGAGCGAACCUGGCGAACUGAAACAUCUCAGUAACCAGAGGAAAAGAAAGCAAACGCGAUUCCGUAAGUAGCGGCGAGCGAAAGCGGAACAGCCCAAACCGGACUUCGGUCCGGGGUUUGGACACCGACAUGGUGACCGAAUGAUGUGUGAGUCGGCUGGAAAGUCGAACCAAAGAAGGUGACAGUCCUGUAGCACAUCUGAAGGAAAUCUAGGUGUUCCAGAGUAGCACGGUGCUCGUGAAACUCCGUGUGAACAUGGGGGGUCCACCCUCCAAGGCUAAAUACUCCUCAACGACCAAUAGUGAACCAGUAAGGUGACUGAAUGAUGAAAAGUACCCCGAUAAGGGGAGUGAAAAGUACCUGAAACCACUUGCUUACAAGCUGUGGGAGCCCGCUUCGGUGGGUGACCGCGUGCCUUUUGCAUAAUGAGCCGACGAGUUACUUUCUGUGGCAAGGUUAAGCUGUAUCCCAGCGGAGCCGAAGGGAAACCGAGUCUGAAUAGGGCGCACAGUCGCAGGGGGUAGACGCGAAACCGGGUGAUCUACCCAUGGGCAGGUUGAAGGAGGGGUAAAACCCUUUGGAGGACCGAACACACCUACGUUGAAAAGUGGGGUGAUGACCUGUGGGGAGGAGUUAAAGUCUAAUCAAACCCGGAGAUAUCUCGUUCUCCUCGAAAUAGCUUUAGGGCUAGCCUCUCGUUACAGCGAUCGGGGGUAGAGCUACUGGAUGGGGCUGGGGGGCUCACCGCCUACCCACCCCAACCAAACUCCGAAUACCGAACGCCUUUGUCGAGGGAGUCAGUCCAUGGGAGAUAAUUUCCAUGGUCGAAAGGGAAACAGCCCAGACCGCCGGUUAAGGUCCCUGAACAUGUCUAAGUUUCUAAGGAAGUCAGAUUGCAUUGACAGCCAGGAUGUUGGCUUAGAAGCAGCCACCAUUUAAAGAGUGCGUAACAGCUCACUGGUCGAGGAAUCUGGUGCCGAUAAUGAUCGGGAAUAAGACGUGUACCGAAACCGCGGAUUCGUAAGAAUGGUAGAGGAGCGUUCCUAUCAGCGCUGAAGCGUUUCCGUAAGGAUGCGUGGAGCGGUAGGAAGUGAAUAUGUCGGCUUGAGUAACGAUAAAUGGAGUGAGAAUCUCCAUCGCCGAAAACCUAAGGUUUCCUGGGGAAGGUAAAUCCGCCCAGGGUUAGGCGGGACCUAAGGCGAGGCCGAAAGGCGUAGUCGAUGGAUAGCAGGUCAACAUUCCUGCCCCGUCAUGUAAGGUUGAUCCAGCGCGACGGAUCAUGAAGCUUUGUGGGACAGUGAAGCGUCCAGGCCCUUGAGGCCGAUGCAAGGUGGAUUGGUUCCAAGAAAAACCGUCUGGUGACGAACAUGACGCCCGUACUAAAACUGACACAGGUAGGUGUGGCGAAAAGCCUCAGGCGCUCGAGAGAACCGUUGUGAAGGAACUAGGCAAAUUGACCCCGUACGUUCGCAAUAAGGGGGCCCUCCUGGAAACAGAGGGCGCAGAGAAAAGGCUCUGGCGACUGUUUAUCAAAAACACAGCACUGUGCGAACACGCAAGUGGACGUAUACAGUGUGACGCCUGCUCGGUGCCGGACUGUUAAGGAAGUGGGUUAGCUUCGGCGAAGCU